rnacentral:lncRNA from 1 species
GGCUCAAUCACACAUUGUAAGAGAGAAAAAACAAGGAGAGGACACAGCAGUGAAACCAGCAAGCUGGCACUUGUUAGUGACUGUUUGAAAGGAAGGGAAAUCAAAAUUCCAGUAAGAAAUCAGUGACCUGACAAAGCACAGACACCAAGCAGCAGCAGAGGACAGCCUGGGGAGGGUCCUGUGCAGUUCCACUUCAGCUGAGGUCAGAAUGCAGAGCAGCACCACAUGCGGCAGCAGGACUGUGUACACAUGGGCACAUGCAUGUUUCUGCCCAAGUCCCCACUCCUGAUAGGAGAUGGAUAAAUAGAAGUGACCCAGAGGUCUGGGGUUACAUCUGCUUAGACUCAAUGACUCGAAAUCCAUUUCAGGCUCCUUAGCGGCCCCAUUCAGCACAGUCAUGCUGGAGCCAGGAUAUGAAGGGCACCUGUCAGGGCUAUUUCAGGAACCAGAGGCCUCCCUCCCCUCCAUGCUGAGCUCACGUUGUAUCAGAUGAGGUCUGCUGGAGCAGUGUGCAUGGAAAGUCUGGUUUUCAGUGAGAAGUCUGGAUGACAAAGUGACUUUCCAAGCCCCCUUGUCACUGACAGCUCCAGCUCUGACCAUGACACCAGGAUACAGACAGGAGCAACCAGGCUCGCUCUUCAAUGAAGGCUAUUUCUGCAAAUACCUCAUCUUUACUCUUUCUAAUUGCUGCCACAGGCUUCAGUACCCCCUCAGCAUGACCUGAGCUGACCUCAGGCACCUCCACACGGCCAUAUGGGCUCCAGCACAGCCUGUCCCUGUCCCUGCAGGGCCAUGGUAAUAGAGCCUGCAGCCAGAGCACACUUGGCUUGAUCCAGAACAGCCUGGAGGAGAAGAUAAAUAAAGGAGGGACAAAGUGUUUUAACACAGGAGACAAAAUAAACAUGUUAAGUGCUCUAUAUGCAAAAGCAGGAGGAAUCCCACUGCCUCAGGAAUGUUCCUGCUGUGACUUGAAUGUGGUACAAACCCUCUUCAAACGCUUCAUCACUGAAUGUUUCUCUGCAAAUCCUGCUUGCCAGGGCAGGGGAAGUCUCUGUCACACAGCCAGCUCCUCACCAACAAGCUUUGGAGAUCUCAGCCCAAUCUGUGCAGAUCCACAUUUUCAUUAUGAAUUUCACCGACAGCCACAGACAAAAAGAAAAGAAAACAAAUAGCCCAGCCCCAUCCCUCCCCCAAAACCAGCCCUGGUGCACCAGGACCAUGCAGCUGAGGGGUGAACCUUCAUCAGAUCCCAUGGAGACCAAAACGGAGCGGUCUGUGAGUUUUAAGUUCUCCCU